rnacentral:rRNA from 1 species
AGCGGGGAGCGUCCGGGAAUUUCUAACGUAGGUGAACCUGCGGAAGGAUCAUUG